UAUGAACCGUUAUAACCGGCGAUACCCGAAUGGGGAAACCCAGUGUGAUUCGUCACACUAUCAUUAACUGAAUCCAUAGGUUAAUGAGGCGAACCGGGGGAACUGAAACAUCUAAGUACCCCGAGGAAAAGAAAUCAACCGAGAUUCCCCCAGUAGCGGCGAGCGAACGGGGAGGAGCCCAGAGCCUGAAUCAGCAUGUGUGUUAGUGGAAGCGUCUGGAAAGGCGCGCGAUACAGGGUGACAGCCCCGUACACAAAAGCGCAUGUGCUGUGAGCUCGAUGAGUAGGGCGGGACACGUGGUAUCCUGUCUGAAUAUGGGGGGACCAUCCUCCAAGGCUAAAUACUCCUGACUGACCGAUAGUGAACCAGUACCGUGAGGGAAAGGCGAAAAGAACCCCGGCGAGGGGAGUGAAAAAGAACCUGAAACCGUGUACGUACAAGCAGUGGGAGCACAGGUUUACCUGUGUGACUGCGUACCUUUUGUAUAAUGGGUCAGCGACUUAUAUUCUGUAGCAAGGUUAACCG
rnacentral:rRNA from 1 species